rnacentral:snRNA from 1 species
AGCUUUGUGCAGUGGCAGUAUCGUAGCCAAUGAGGUUUAUCCGAGGCGCGAUUAUUGCUAAUUAAAAAGAAGAAUUCAAAGAACAAGAAUGUACUUCUGGAAAAUAAAAUGUGAC